rnacentral:rRNA from 1 species
UAGGGAAUCUUCCGCAAUGGACGCAAGUCUGACGGAGCAACGCCGCGUGAGUGAAGAAGGAUUUCGGUUCGUAAAACUCUGUUGUUAGAGAAGAACAGCGCAUAGAGUAACUGUUAUGCGUGUGACGGUAUCUAACCAGAAAGCCACGGCUAACUACGUGCCAGCAGCCGCGGUAAUACGUAGGUGGCAAGCGUUGUCCGGAUUUAUUGGGCGUAAAGCGAGCGCAGGCGGUCAAUUAAGUCUGAUGUGAAAGCCCCCGGCUCAACCGGGGAGGGUCAUUGGCAACUGGUUGACUUGAGUGCAGAAGAGGGGAGUGGAAUUCCAUGUGUAGCAGUGAAAUGCGUAGAUAUAUGGAGGAACACCAGUGGCGAAGGCGACUCUCUGGUCUGUAACUGACGCUGAGGCUCGAAAGCGUGGGUAGCGAACAGG